rnacentral:rRNA from 1 species
UACAGAGGCCUCGAGCGUUGUUCGGAAUUACUGGGCGUAAAGCGAAUGUAGGUGGUGACGUAAGUCAGAUGUGAAAGCCCAGGGCUUAACCCUGGAAAUGCAUUUGAUACUGCGUUGCUGGAGUAUGAGAGAGGAAAGGGGAAUUCCUAGUGUAGGAGUGAAAUCCGUAGAUAUUAGGAGGAAUACCAAUGGCGAAGGCACCUUUCUGGUUCAUUACUGACACUGAGAUUCGACAGCGUGGGGAGCAAACAGG